rfam:Agarivorans albus MKT 106 DNA, contig: contig00001.
GUGGGUAUAGCUCAGUUGGUAGAGCCCCGGAUUGUGAUUCCGGUUGUCGUGGGUUCAAAUCCCAUUACUCACC